rnacentral:rRNA from 1 species
ACGGCCAUACCAUGCUGAAUAUACCGGCUCUCGUUAGAUCACCGAAGUCAAGCAUCAUUGGGCGCGGUCAGUACUU